AUGAAGACUUUAGACUUUGGUUGUGGAAUUUCAAAAUUAUCUGUUUGUCAUAUGUCUUCAUGCAUGCUGGACGCGAAUGGAAGGUGUAUGAGGUGGCAAAGACGGUCUUUGAAAACAAUGACACAGAAACUAGAAAGUCUUUGCAAAGUGAUAAUGGUGGUAAAAAGUUGAUCAUUUUCUUGGCUUUCACUCUUCAUUUCAUCGAUCAAGCAUUCCUUUAUAUGUUUGCAUUGUUAUCUUGAGUUCUUGAUAUUUAUCAUCUACAUUAUGGGGUUGUGAUUUUCUUUUUAUCUAUGGCAAGUUUGUUCCUUUGAUAAAUAGUGUUGGAUGCUUUUUUAGUGGUUUUCAAUUACUUUACUACUGUGGUGUGGUGUUUCUCAUCUUGUUUAAUUUGGUUGUGCUUUUAUGUUAUCUCAUUCAAGUAAACGACGUGUAUUCUGUUCUUUGUGGUAUAUCAAGCUCUGUGAGACAUUUUGUUGUCGCGAUGUCUGUAAUUGUUAGCAUUUUAGGAUUAGACUCUUGGUUCAAUUGAAAUUACAUGAAACUUCUCGUAUUCUAAUUUUGAUUUGAACAGCCCAAUUCACCUUCCAAAUGAGAUAAAACCAUUUCAAAAGUAAAGAAUUCCAUGACAUAUAUGUAGUGUUAAUUAACACAUAGGAACCAGAGGGUAACUUUUUUUUAAAUUUUUAUUCAUCUUUUGUUAUCCUAUCAAACUACUUUUGUUUUGUUUUCUUUUGCCAGUUACUAUCAAACUUCUUCCGUUUAUAUAUUUUUUAGUAAUUUGACAAAUAAAUGUGAUAUAGGAAGUCAUAAGAUUGAGACAUGAAUGUGCACUAGCGUUAUGUGAUUGUUGCUUUGAUUAACUGUGGAGUCGUUGAGGCAUAAUGUCAUGCAUUUUGAAUUGCUUUGAAAGAGAGUUGGAAUUUCUUUGCUUCUACUAAAUCUUAGGAUUCUUGUGAGAUCAUAUUUGUUUGCUAAAACUCUACCCGAUUGAUCCUUAUAUCCCUAACAUGGGACAUGCAUCCAUUUUGAAAAAUUCAAAGGCCCUUCCCCUUCCAGAAAAAAAAGAAAGAAAGAAAGAAAAGUAAGAAAAAGGAAAUUACAUCUACUCCGCUGGUUUAGGUCACUUAGUAACUGGGUAACUUCAUCACAAAUGUUGUUAUUCACGUAAAACGGUGGCCGGAGCUAUGAGUAUGCAAAGCACUUUAGGUAAAACGUGUUUUGGUUGAGUAACCGGGUGCCUUCACCACAAGUGUUGUCAUUCGCGUCAAAAGGCCAGAAUGCGACGUUUUUUGGUUGAGUAACCGGGUGCCUUCACCACAAGUGUUGUCAUUCGCGUCAAAAGACCGGAAAACGGCCUAAAGAACACAAGUCGCGGGCAAAAACAAAGGAAAAGAAAAAGAAAAUAAAAGCCGUGACUAAAGCAAAAGGGGAAGAAAAAAGAAAAAAAAUUCAUGAGUGGCCAAAGAAAAGAAAGAAAAGCGAAAUCCGUCCUGACUAGGUAGAUGUGAGGAGAUAAAAGGGUAUUGUGCUAGCAUCGAGGAUGAUAACACUUUGAAAUCCAUAGAUUUUGUGGUAGCUUGAUUGUCCUCCUCUAUACUUGGCAUGCCUUUUCUUAUGCGACUACUAUUUUUGGUUGGGAGGAGGAGGAGAUAGAUUCUGGCCUUGUAUUUAUUGUAACAAUAUUUAAAUUCUAUAUUAUUAUAGUUUUCUUUAAUCUUAAUGAAUUAUUCCCUAUAGAUUGCCAUCCGAGCAGGGUGAGGGUGCAAGUUCAGUAUAUAGCAGUAGUGCAUCUUACAUGACCGCCCCUUAAAAGGAAAAUGUAUGUGCUUGCAUGUAUGAGUUAAAGAAGUCUACCAUGGUGCAUAUAGACAAGUAUUAUAAAUUUUUCACUUCUAAUUUAUACUGGCCCAUGAAUGCGGUUUAUCCAGGUAUGUGAGGUUGGGAAUCAUUGUUAACUAAUAAUUGAUACUAAAAUCAGAUUCCUCUUUUGUGUUCCAUCUUGUGUUAAACUCUUUAAUGAAGUUCAUCAGAUAUCUUUCAGUUACACUUGCUACACUUGGUGAGAACACCAGAUGAUGUCCCUGGAUGUGCUUCUUAGUGCUGGUGUUCCGUGGUGCAGUGCAAAAAGCUCGAGAAUUUGUUGUCACUUCCCAAGAGCUUAUCACUCAGGGUUCAGUCCUGAUGCUGCUGAUAUGGCUAAUACUGAAUCGUCGAGUGUUGCAAGAGAAGCUGCAAUACAUAGUGCAGCUAUUAGGUGUCCUCCAAUGGUGUCUCGCUUCCAGUUAUCAUAUGAUCUUGCAGUCUCGUUAUGU